rnacentral:tRNA from 1 species
GCCUGGGUGGCUCAGUUGGUUGAGCGUCCGACUUCAGCUCAGGUCACGAACUCGCGGUUUGUGGGUUUGAGACCUGCAUCAGGCU